rnacentral:lncRNA from 1 species
GUCCAUCAUCUGAAGGCGGGACCAAUGGGAAGGUUUACAAAGUGUCAAUCACCUGAAGGCGGGACCAAGGGAAGGUUGACAAAGUGUCAAUCACCCGAGGGCGGGACCAAUGGGAACGUUUACAAAGUGUCAAUCACCUGAAGGCGGGACCAAUGGGAACGUUUACAAGGUGUCAAUCACCUGAAGGCGGGACCAAUGGGAACGUUGACAAGGUGACAAUCACCUGAAGGCGGGACCAAUGGGAUCGUUUACAAGGUGUCAAUCACCUGAAGGCCGGACCAAUGGGAACGUUGACAAGGUGUCAAUCACCUGAAGGCGGGACCAAUGGGAAAGUUUAC